rnacentral:rRNA from 1 species
UACGGGGGGAGCAAGCGUUGUUCGGAUUUACUGGGCGUAAAGGGCGCGUAGGCGGUCAGCACAAGUCAGUUGUGAAAUCUCCGGGCUUAACUCGGAAAGGUCAACUGAUACUGUGCGACUAGAGUGCAGAAGGGGCAACUGGAAUUCUCGGUGUAGCGGUGAAAUGCGCAGAUAUCGAGAGGAACACCUGCGGCGAAGGCGGGUUGCUGGGCCAACACUGACGCUGAGGCGCGAAAGCCAGGGGAGCAAACGGG